rnacentral:lncRNA from 1 species
UGUUGAAAAUGGCCAACCAUGCUGCUAUUAUGUUUUGUUAAAAUGCAUGGUACUAUGAUGAUUCUGUUGAAUGCAUACUGCUUGUAUGCAUGUUGCAGCAUUUGUGCAUGUUGCAGCAACAUAUUUUCUGUUUUAGUUGCAAUUUAAUUUAGUUUGGUUGAGAAUGAACUUUGAUGUUGAUGUUUUGAUGGGUUGGUUGAGCUGAUAAGUCAGCUUAUCCAUGUGUACAAGCAAUGUUUUUAAAGUUACUAGGCUACUUAGUGGUAUUAGGUAGUAAUAACUGAUGUAGUUGGCUAUAAAUGUAUUGUUUUUCUUAUUGAAAAAUUAAGCAUAUCAGUUGUAAGGCAGAUUGCUUCCUUGCUGCACGUUUGUGAGCAAGUAAAUUGUUUUUGUUUCUUCCUCCUUUGUUCUAUGUUUUGUUCUUUUUCUAAGAGCUGCUGCCAUUGUUCUUUCUUUUUCUUUUUUCUUCCUGUUAACCGAGAGCUUAUGCUCUUGAUGCUUUGUGUUUCUGCUUGCUGUUUGAAGAGCUUAUGCUCUUAGUGUUUCAUUGUUUGGUUGCUGCUGCCAAAUGUUCCAACAAAUGGUAUCAUGAGCCCAAGUCUUAAGGGACCAUUGAUUUUGCUUCCCCUGCUCAACAUCGGCUCAAACUUAUGAGACCUCCAAACAAGCUUCAAUAAGCUGAAGGGGGAGUUUCAAGGAAAGGUGUGAGCUUUCCAAAUGUGCAAGCUUAGCAAGAUGUCAAAGCUGCAAGCUUAGCAAAGUGCGAGCUGAUGAAGACACCUGUUGAAGACAAUAUGCAAAGAUGUGAGUCUGUCAAAGGUGUGAGUUCAGCAACAUGUGGAAGCUCAAUGUGUGUUGUAUAGUUGCAAGCCAAAAUAUCAGAAUGAAGGCAAGCAACUAUACUCAGGAACUGUUUGUGCAAGAAGAAACAAGUUGUCAACCAAGGCUGUGAAGGAGGAGAAGACUCCAUUUGGUGAACAAAUCUUUGGCACAAAAGACUGGGAUAGUCAAGUGUAUAAGUCAGAUUUGUUGUUUGUGAAUGAGGCCAAGGUUGAAAAUGAAUUGGUCAGCUUGAAUCAAAGUAUCUAAGAGCUGCCAAGUUCAAAAAACUUGAUGAAUGACUGGUAUUUGCAGCAUGGAGUCCAAGGAGGAGUGUUGAAAAUGGCCAACCAUGCUGCUAUUAUGUUUUGUUAAAAUGCAUGGUACUAUGAUGAUUUUGUUGAAUGCAUACUGCUUGUAUGCAUGUUGCAGCAUUUGUGCAUGUUGCAGCAACAUAUUUUCUGUUUUAGUUGCAAUUUAAUUUAGUUUGGUUGAGAAUGAACUUUGAUGUUGAUGUUUUGAUGGGUUGGUUGAGCUGAUAAGUCAGCUUAUCCAUGUGUACAAGCAAUGUUUUUAAAGUUACUAGGCUACUUAGUGGUAUUAGGUAGUAAUAACUGAUGUAGUUGGCUAUAAAUGUAUUGUUUUUCUUAUUGAAAAAUUAAGCAUAUCAGUUGUAAGGCAGAUUGCUUCCUUGCUGCACGUUUGUGAGCAAGUAAAUUGUUUUUGUUUCUUCCUCCUUUGUUCUAUGUUUUGUUCUUUUUCUAAGAGCUGCUGCCAUUGUUCUUUCUUUUUCUUUUUUCUUCCUGUUAACCGAGAGCUUAUGCUCUUGAUGCUUUGUGUUUCUGCUUGCUGUUUGAAGAGCUUAUGCUCUUAGUGUUUCAUUGUUUGGUUGCUGCUGCCAAAUGUUCCAACAAAAAUUUCUUAAACAGAAGAAACAAAAAAGUAAUGAAAGAAAGAUUAGAUCGAUAUUUGAAAUGUAGAAUAGAAUUCUCUCAAUAACGGAGAAGAAGAAGAAGAGAGAUCGGGCGUUGAAAACACAGAAAGGCAAAGGAAUUGCUGGCAGAGAGGAAGUUUUUGCUAAUGCUUCU